GAUUCGAUCAGAAGGAUGUGCGGGCGGUAUCGCGCCUGGGACGGCCCGCUUAUUGGUGUCACUUCCACCCAGGGACCUGGCUUUCCUGGGGCUUCGACGUCAUCAGGGCUGGGGGCUGACGUCUGAGGAAAGACUCUCCUGGGCCAAUAUGCUGCCUUGGAACUUUUUCACCGGACGUCGCUGGGACUCGUCCAGUUUUAUUCGGUGCGUUUUCCGAGUGAAAAUGUUGGGAUUUGACAACUGAAUACUUUGGACUAUAUCUGUUUCAAACACUGAAUUCAGUUGCCGUCUUGAUUCCUUGUGUCACCAAACAGCAAUUGGUUUUCUUCCUAACCCACCAAUUGCCCAAGUUGUCGUUGAUUGUGAAGAUUGGACUGUCACCGUUUUACACGAGGUCUUCAGUUGUCUUCUUUAUAGAGGAUAUCAAGUUGGGAGUCAGCGGCCGACGGGGAAACAUGUUGCUAGGUAUG